CCUACGGGAGGCUGCAGUGAGGAAUAUUGGUCAAUGGGCGAGACCCUGAACCAGCCAAGUCGCGUGAGGGAGUACUUCCCUAUGGGUUGUAAACCUCUUUUGUCGGGGAGCAAAUGCCGGACGUGUCCGGCUGUGAGAGUACCCGCAGAAAAAGCAUCGGCUAACUCCGUGCCAGCAGCCGCGGUAAUACGGGGGAUGCGAGCGUUAUCCGGAUUUAUUGGGUUUAAAGGGUGCGCAGGCGGAUUUUUACGGCAGCGGUCAAAUCUUGGGGCUAAACCCCAUCCAGCCGGUGAAACUGGGGAUCUAGAGUGGGCGAGAGGUAUGCGGAAUGCGUGGUGUAGCGGUGAAAUGCAUAGAUAUCACGCAGAACCCCGAUUGCGAAGGCAGCAUACCGGUGCACAACUGACGCUCAGGCACGAAAGCGUGGGUAUCGAACAGGAUUAGAUACCCGUGUAGUC
rnacentral:rRNA from 1 species